UAUGCAGCACCCAGCACCUUACCUCAGCACACCACUCUGGAGGUUUUGCAGCAGAAUACCUCUGAUGAGAUUCCUCUGCAUAAACGGUUUUUCCAGGCCCCUAGAGGGUGAAUUUCUGAUGGCAUCACUCCUCUGCGUCCAGUGAGCAUUGGCCAUGCCCUCUCCAACAAGGAUUUAUGCUAAGAUAAAAUGAGAUAAGACAUUUAAAAUUCUCAGAAAAUAAUGACCUUCAAGAUGGCGGAGGAGUAAGACAUGGAGAUCACCUUCCUCCCCACAAAUACAUCAGAAAUACAUCUACAUGUGGAACUGCUCCUACAGAACACCCACUGAACGCUGGCAGAAGACCUCAGACCUCCCACAAGGCAAGAAACUCCCCACGUACCUGGCCCUGUGGCUGACAGAGUCUUUAUGCUGUGGCCGGAUGUCAGGCCUGAACCUCUGAUUUGGGAGAGCCGAGUUCAAGACAAUGGACCACCAGAGACCUCCCGGCCCCACAUAGUAUCAAUCGGCGAGAGCUCUCCCAGAGAUUUCAGUCUCAAUGCUAAGACCCAGCUCCACUCAACGAGCAGCAAGCUCCAGUGCUGGACAACACAUGCUAAACAACUAGCCAGACAGGAACACAAUCCCACCCAUUAGCAGAGAGGCUACCUAAAAUCAUAAUAAGUUCACAGACACCCCAGAACACACCAUCAGAUGUGGUCCUGCCCACCAGAAAGACAAGAUCCAGCCUCAUCCACCAGAACACAGGCACCAGUCCCCUCCACCAGGAAGUCUACACAACCCACUGAACCAACCUUACCCACUGGGGUUAGACACCAAAAACAAUGGGAACUACGAACCUGCAGCUUGAGAAAAAGAGACCCCGAACACAGUAAGUUAGCAAAAUGAGAAGACAGAGAAAUACACAGCAGAUGAAGGAGCAAGGUAAAAACCCACCAGACCAAACAAAUGAAGUGGAAAUAGGCAGUCUACCUGAAAAAGAAUUCAGAAUAAUGGUAGUAAAGAUGAUCCAAAAUCUUGGAAAUAGAAUGGAGAAAAUGCAAGUAACAUUUAACAAGGACCUAGAAGAACUAAAGAGAAAAACAAACAAUGAUGAACAACACAAUGAAUGAAAUUAAACCUUCUCUAGAAGGAAUCAAUAGCAGAAUACCUGAGGCAGAAGAAUGGAUAAGUGACCUGGAAGAUAAAAUAGUGGAAAUAACUACUGCAGAGCAGAAUAAAGAAGAAAGAAUGAAAAGAAUUGAGGACAAUCUCAGAGACCUCUGGGACAACAUUAAAUGCACCAACAUUCAAAUUAUAGGGGUCCCAGAAGAAGAAGAGAAAAAGAAAGGGACUGAGAAAAUAUUUGAAGAGAUUAUAGUUGAAAAUUUCCCUAACAUGGGAAAGGAAAUAGUCAGUCAACUCCAGGAAGCACAGAGAGUACCACACAGGAUAAAUUCAAGGAGAAACAUGCCAAGACACAUAUUAAUCAAGCUCGUAAAAAUAAGAGAGAUUUGGCACAUCCUGUCCUUUUCCCAGUUUGGUUGUUCUAUAGAAUAGUCUAUUAUUCUUCAA